AACGAACGCUGGCGGCAGGCUUAACACAUGCAAGUCGAACGGGUGUAGCAAUACAUCAGUGGCAGACGGGUGAGUAACACGUGGGAACCUUCCUAGGGGUACGGAACAACUCAGGGAAACUUGAGCUAAUACCGUAUACGUCCGUGAGGAGAAAGAUUUAUCGCCCUUAGACGGGCCCGCGUCGGAUUAGGUAGUUGGUGGGGUAACGGCCUACCAAGCCUACGAUCCGUAGCUGAUCUGAGAGGAUGAUCAGCCACACUGGGACUGAGACACGGCCCAGACUCUUACGGGAGGCAGCAGUGGGGAAUCUUGGACAAUGGGCGAAAGCCUGAUCCAGCCAUGCCGCGUGAGUGAAGAAGGCCUUAGGGUUGUAAAGCUCUUUUGCCAGGGACGAUAAUGACGGUACCUGGAGAAUAAGCCCCGGCAAACUUCGUGCCAGCCGCCGCAGUAAAAC
rnacentral:rRNA from 1 species